rnacentral:rRNA from 1 species
GGUGACGCUGGCGGCAGGGUUGAUUACCCUGGUAGUUCGAUGCGGUAGCACAGGGGAGCUUGCUCCCUGGGUGACGAGCG